GCGGACCUUCGGGUGCCGGCGAGUGGCGAACGGGUGAGUAAUAUAUCGGAACGUACCUUUCAGUGGGGAUAACGUAGCGAAAGUUACGCUAAUACCGCAUAUUCUGUGAGCAGGAAAGCAGGGGAUCGCAAGACCUUGCGCUGAUUGAGCGGCCGAUAUCAGAUUAGCUAGUUGGUGAGGUAAAGGCUCACCAAGGCGACGAUCUGUAGCGGGUCUGAGAGGAUGAUCCGCCACACUGGAACUGAGACACGGUCCAGACUCCUACGGGAGGCAGCAGUGGGGAAUUUUGGACAAUGGGCGCAAGCCUGAUCCAGCCAUGCCGCGUGAGUGAAGAAGGCCUUCGGGUUGUAAAGCUCUUUCGGCCGGGAAGAAAUCGCACAGGUUAAUACCCUGUGUGGAUGACGGUACCGGAAUAAGAAGUACCGGCUAACUACGUG
rnacentral:rRNA from 1 species